rnacentral:rRNA from 1 species
UAAGGAAUAUUGGUCAAUGGACGCAAGUCUGAACCAGCCAUGCCGCGUGGAGGAUUAAGGCCCUCUGGGUUGUAAACUCCUUUUAUCUGGGAAGAAAUGUACUUUUUCUUGAGUACUUGACGGUACCAGAGGAAUAAGCACCGGCUAACUCCGUGCCAGCAGCCGCGGUAAUACGGAGGGUGCAAGCGUUAUCCGGAUUCACUGGGUUUAAAGGGUGCGUAGGUGGGCAGGUAAGUCAGUGGUGAAAUCUCCGGGCUUAACCCGGAAACUGCCGUGGAUACUUGUUGUCUUGAAUAUUGUGGAGGUAAGCGGAAUAUGUCAUGUAGCGGUGAAAUGCUUAGAUAUGACAUAGAACACCAAUUGCGAAGGCAGCUUACUACACAAUCAUUGACGCUGAGGCACGAAAGCGUGGGGAUCAAACA